GGUUAAGCGACUAAGCGUACACGGUGGAUGCCCUGGCAGUCAGAGGCGAUGAAGGACGUGCUAAUCUGCGAAAAGCGUCGGUAAGGUGAUAUGAACCGUUACAGCCGGCGAUGUCCGAAUGGGGAAACCCAGUGCAAUUCGUUGCACUAUCGUUAACUGAAUACAUAGGUUAACGAGGCGAACCGGGGGAACUGAAACAUCUAAGUACCCCGAGGAAAAGAAAUCAACCGAGAUUCCCCCAGUAGCGGCGAGCGAACGGGGAGCAGCCCAGAGUCUGAAUCAGCUUGUGUGUUAGUGGAACGGUCUGGAAAGUCCGACGGUACAGGGUGAUAGUCCCGUACACCAAAAUGCACAGGUUGUGAACUCGAAGAGUAGGGCGGGACACGUGGUAUCCUGUCUGAAUAUGGGGGGACCAUCCUCCAAGGCUAAAUACUCCUGACUGACCGAUAGUGAACCAGUACCGUGAGGGAAAGGCGAAAAGAACCCCGGCGAGGGGAGUGAAAAAGAACCUGAAACCGUGUACGUACAAGCAGUGGGAGCACCUUCGGGUGUGACUGCGUACCUUUUGUAUAAUGGGUCAGCGACUUAUAUUCUGUAGCAAGGUUAACCGUAUAGGGGAGCCGCAGGGAAACCGAGUCUUAACUGGGCGUUAAGUUGCAGGGUAUAGACCCGAAACCCGGUGAUCUAGCCAUGGGCAGGUUGAAGGUUGGGUAACACUAACUGGAGGACCGAACCGACUAAUGUUGAAAAAUUAGCGGAUGACUUGUGGCUGGGGGUGAAAGGCCAAUCAAACCGGGAGAUAGCUGGUUCUCCCCGAAAGCUAUUUAGGUAGCGCCUCGUGAACUCAUCUUCGGGGGUAGAGCACUGUUUCGGCUAGGGGGUCAUCCCGACUUACCAACCCGAUGCAAACUACGAAUACCGAAGAAUGUUAUCACGGGAGACACACGGCGGGUGCUAACGUCCGUCGUGAAGAGGGAAACAACCCAGACCGCCAGCUAAGGUCCCAAAGUCAUGGUUAAGUGGGAAACGAUGUGGGAAGGCACAGACAGCCAGGAUGUUGGCUUAGAAGCAGCCAUCAUUUAAAGAAAGCGUAAUAGCUCACUGGUCGAGUCGGCCUGCGCGGAAGAUGUAACGGGGCUAAACCAUGCACCGAAGCUGCGGCAGCGACACUAUGUGUUGUUGGGUAGGGGAGCGUUCUGUAAGCCUGCGAAGGUGUGCUGUGAGGCAUGCUGGAGGUAUCAGAAGUGCGAAUGCUGACAUAAGUAACGAUAAAGCGGGUGAAAAGCCCGCUCGCCGGAAGACCAAGGGUUCCUGUCCAACGUUAAUCGGGGCAGGGUGAGUCGACCCCUAAGGCGAGGCCGAAAGGCGUAGUCGAUGGGAAACAGGUUAAUAUUCCUGUACUUGGUGUUACUGCGAAGGGGGGACGGAGAAGGCUAUGUUAGCCGGGCGACGGUUGUCCCGGUUUAAGCAUGUAGGCUGGUUGUCCAGGCAAAUCCGGAUAAUCAAGGCUGAGGUGUGAUGACGAGGCACUACGGUGCUGAAGUAACAAAUGCCCUGCUUCCAGGAAAAGCCUCUAAGCAUCAGGUAACAUCAAAUCGUACCCCAAACCGACACAGGUGGUCAGGUAGAGAAUACCAAGGCGCUUGAGAGAACUCGGGUGAAGGAACUAGGCAAAAUGGUGCCGUAACUUCGGGAGAAGGCACGCUGGUGUGUAGGUGAAGUCCCUGCGGAUGGAGCUGAGACCAGUCGAAGAUACCAGCUGGCUGCAACUGUUUAUUAAAAACACAGCACUGUGCAAACACGAAAGUGGACGUAUACGGUGUGACGCCUGCCCGGUGCCGGAAGGUUAAUUGAUGGGGUUAUCCGUAAGGAGAAGCUCUUGAUCGAAGCCCCGGUAAACGGCGGCCGUAACUAUAACGGUCCUAAGGUAGCGAAAUUCCUUGUCGGGUAAGUUCCGACCUGCACGAAUGGCGUAAUGAUGGCCAGGCUGUCUCCACCCGAGACUCAGUGAAAUUGAACUCGCUGUGAAGAUGCAGUGUACCCGCGGCAAGACGGAAAGACCCCGUGAACCUUUACUAUAGCUUGACACUGAACAUUGAGCCUUGAUGUGUAGGAUAGGUGGGAGGCUUUGAAGCGUGGACGCCAGUCUGCGUGGAGCCAACCUUGAAAUACCACCCUUUAAUGUUUGAUGUUCUAACGUUGGCCCCUGACCGGGGUUGCGGACAGUGUCUGGUGGGUAGUUUGACUGGGGCGGUCUCCUCCCAAAGCGUAACGGAGGAGCACGAAGGUUAGCUAAUCCUGGUCGGACAUCAGGAGGUUAGUGCAAUGGCAUAAGCUAGCUUGACUGCGAGCGUGACGGCGCGAGCAGGUGCGAAAGCAGGUCAUAGUGAUCCGGUGGUUCUGAAUGGAAGGGCCAUCGCUCAACGGAUAAAAGGUACUCCGGGGAUAACAGGCUGAUACCGCCCAAGAGUUCAUAUCGACGGCGGUGUUUGGCACCUCGAUGUCGGCUCAUCACAUCCUGGGGCUGAAGUAGGUCCCAAGGGUAUGGCUGUUCGCCAUUUAAAGUGGUACGCGAGCUGGGUUUAGAACGUCGUGAGACAGUUCGGUCCCUAUCUGCCGUGGGCGCUGGAGAAUUGAGGGGGGCUGCUCCUAGUACGAGAGGACCGGAGUGGACGCAUCACUGGUGUUCGGGUUGUCAUGCCAAUGGCACUGCCCGGUAGCUAAAUGCGGAAGAGAUAAGUGCUGAAAGCAUCUAAGCACGAAACUUGCCCCGAGAUGAGUUCUCCCUGAGACUUUAAGUCUCCUGAAGGAACGUUGAAGACGACGACGUUGAUAGGCCGGGUGUGUAAGCGCAGCGAUGCGUUGAGCUAACCGGUACUAAUGAACCGUGAGGCUUAACCUU
rnacentral:rRNA from 1 species